CCUUUACUGUGUUGAUUCCCUUUAUGUAUUUAAAUGUUUCUAUCAUAUCCCUCCUGUCUCGUCUUUCCUCCAAGCUAUACAUGUUAAGAUCCUUUAACCUAGUUAUGUGUGUGACUGAAUGUGUAUGUGUCUGUAAGUGUAUGUGCGUGUAUGUGUUUGUCUGUGAGUGUGUGUCUGUAAGUGUAUGUGUGUCUGACUGUGUCUGUAUGUAUGUGUCUGCAUGUGUAUCUGUUUGUCUACAUGUGUGGGGGGAGGGGCGGGGACGUGUGGGGUAGGAGAUAGAAGUAUGGGGGGCCCCAGGGCAAUUUUUGCACAGGGGCCCCGUGGUUUCUAGUUAUGCCUCUGCAGAUGAUACAGACAGAAUGUACACAGGAAGCAUACCCUCAAUAUGCUGAAGAUCAGUUAAUGUUUCAGGAGCCCACCAAGAUGGCUCUCUCGUUAUAUUAUUUUGCCCGUGGCUCGGAACCAAAUGGCCAAAGUGUUUAUGAAAUGAGCAUUUCUCUCUGCAUUACAAACUCCACAACCAAACAUUCUCCACAUGUACAAACAUUCUCUCCGAGUAAGCCUCAGCCCCACAUUAACUUAAUGAAAAAUACAUAAAUAAAAUCAGAGAAAUUCUCGGAAGCCAAGGGCAACCCUUCUCCAAGCAGGUAAGUUAUACCCUGAGAAGUCCCCAGGCAGAAACAGAUAAUAAGAUCCUGUCCAGAAUUGCCCUAAGCAUCGCCAGUUUCAGUCAUGAUAGAACAGAAUAAUGUCAGGGCGACCAGAAGCCAUUGUGAAUACUGUAUAUGAGAUAAUUUAACCACUCUGAAUUUAAGAUUCAGCCAUAGUCAGGCACCACCAGUUAUGUCCACAAGGUGGCACCAAAAGAUAACUACAAAACCAUUGUAGUCAAAUUAGUUAAAAAUGACUAGGUCUGUCUAAGAUGCACUUUAUUUACUGAGGAUAAUAUUUAACAUAUUAAAUAAAUCAAGCAAACGCUGAGUCAAGAGGGGCCCUCAAAAAUAAUGCUACAAUAGCGAGGACUUAGCGUGAUCCUAAAGUCAAUUAAUGUCACGUUUAUGCGUUGACAGGACACGGAACUCACAGAAUUCCCCAAAUUCCAAGAAUCUCUGAACUGUUAGAAUAUCGUGGGAACUGUAAUGCUGACACCACAAAAGGGUAAAUGGAAUUAUUUUAGAACACCUAUUCUCACCUGUGCUAUUUUCACAGGUCAGUGUUUUAGUAUUAUUAUUAUUAUUAUUAUCGUGGGUUAACUGAAGAAGGUCCCCUGAAAAUUAGUCCAGGCGCCACCGUACCCUCAGCAUGUAUUAUUACAGGAAGUAGGAGAAGGAUUUAGAUUCAUGGUGGCUGCCAUUUUGUGUCCAACCACAACUUUUGCUGUCAGUUUUUCUGUCAGUAGCAGUGCCUAGUAUUGGCCACCAGGUUGAGCUCAGUGGCCAGCUUUGGGAAGAUGGCUCCAUAUCUUGUCACAUAUCACAUUCUCUGUGAAGAUUGUAUGGACUGGGCAUGUAUACCCUUAUUACGGAGUGUUAACAUGUCCCAGGGCUCGGGGCACGAAACGAG